GACGAACGCUGGCGGCGUGCUUAACACAUGCAAGUCGAACGGAAAGGCCCUUCGGGGUACUCGAGUGGCGAACGGGUGAGUAACACGUGGGUGACCUGCCCUGCACUUUGGGAUAAGCCUGGGAAACUGGGUCUAAUACCGAAUAGGACCACGCGCUUCAUGGUGUGUGGUGGAAAGCUUUUGCGGUGUGGGAUGGGCCCGCGGCCUAUCAGCUUGUUGGUGGGGUAAUGGCCUACCAAGGCGACGACGGGUAGCCGGCCUGAGAGGGUGACCGGCCACACUGGGACUAAGAUACGGCCCAGACUCCUACGGGAGGCAGCAGUGGGGAAUAUUGCACAAUGGGCGCAAGCCUGAUGCAGCGACGCCGCGUGAGGGAUGACGGCCUUCGGGUUGUAAACCUCUUUCAAUAGGGACGAAGCGCAAGUGACGGUACCUAUAGAAGAAGCACCGGCCAACUACGUG
rnacentral:rRNA from 1 species